UACGAAGGGAGCUAGCGUUGCUCGGAAUCACUGGGCGUAAAGGGUGCGUAGGCGGGUCUUUAAGUCAGGGGUGAAAUCCUGGAGCUCAACUCCAGAACUGCCUUUGAUACUGAGGAUCUUGAGUUCGGGAGAGGUGAGUGGAACUGCGAGUGUAGAGGUGAAAUUCGUAGAUAUUCGCAAGAACACCAGUGGCGAAGGCGGCUCACUGGCCCGGUACUGACGCUGAGGCACGAAAGCGUGGGGAGCAAACAGGAUUAGAUGACCCGU
rnacentral:rRNA from 1 species